rnacentral:rRNA from 1 species
UGGGGAAUAUUGCACAAUGGGCGCAAGCCUGAUGCAGCCAUGCCGCGUGUGUGAAGAAGGCCUUCGGGUUGUAAAGCACUUUCGGCGAGGAGGAAGGUGGUGAGCUUAAUACGCUCAUCAAUUGACGUUACUCGCAGAAGAAGCACCGGCUAACUCCGUGCCAGCAGCCACGGUAAUACGGAGGGUGCAAGCGUUAAUCGGAAUUACUGGGCGUAAAGCGCACGCAGGCGGUUUGUUAAGUCAGAUGUGAAAUCCCCGGGCUCAACCUGGGAACUGCAUUUGAAACUGGCAAGCUAGAGUCUCGUAGAGGGGGGUAGAAUUCCAGGUGUAGCGGUGAAAUGCGUAGAGAUCUGGAGGAAUACCGGUGGCGAAGGCGGCCCCCUGGACGAAGACUGACGCUCAGGUGCGAAAGCGUGGGGCAGCAAACAGGAUUAGAUACCCUGGUAGUCCACGCUGUAAAACGAUGUCGAUUUUGGAGGUUGUGCCCCUUGAGGCGUGGCUUCCGGAGCUAACGCGUUAAA